UGGGGAAUAUUGCACAAUGGGCGCAAGCCUGAUGCAGCGACGCCGCGUGCGGGAUGGAGGCCUUCGGGUUGUAAACCGCUUUUGUUCAAGGGCAAGGCAGGCCGUUGUGGCCUGUUGAGUGGAUUGUUCGAAUAAGCACCGGCUAACUACGUGCCAGCAGCCGCGGUAAUACGUAGGGUGCGAGCGUUAUCCGGAUUUAUUGGGCGUAAAGGGCUCGUAGGCGGUUCGUCGCGUCCGGUGUGAAAGUCCAUCGCUUAACGGUGGAUCCGCGCCGGGUACGGGCGGGCUUGAGUGCGGUAGGGGAGACUGGAAUUCCCGGUGUAACGGUGGAAUGUGUAGAUAUCGGGAAGAACACCAAUGGCGAAGGCAGGUCUCUGGGCCGUUACUGACGCUGAGGAGCGAAAGCGUGGGGAGCGAACAGG
rnacentral:rRNA from 1 species